CAGUCGCCGCGGUAAUACGUAGGUGGCAAGCGUUGUCCGGAAUUAUUGGGCGUAAAGCGCGCGCAGGUGGUUUAAUAAGUCUGAUGUGAAAGCCCACGGCUCAACCGUGGAGGGUCAUUGGAAACUGUUAAACUUGAGUGCAGGAGAGAAAAGUGGAAUUCCUAGUGUAGCGGUGAAAUGCGUAGAGAUUAGGAGGAACACCAGUGGCGAAGGCGGCUUUUUGGCCUGUAACUGACACUGAGGCGCGAAAGCGCGGGGAGCAAACAGGAUUAGAUACCCCCGUAGUCCCUGUCUCUUAUAA
rnacentral:rRNA from 1 species